rnacentral:rRNA from 1 species
AAUAGAUACCCGGGUAGUCCACGCCGUAAACGUUGGGCGCUAGGUGUGGGGAACCUUCCACGUUCUCCGUGCCGUAGCUAACGCAUUAAGCGCCCCGCCUGGGGAGUACGGCCGCAAGGCUAAAACUCAAAGGAAUUGACGGGGGGCCCGCACAAGCGGCGGAGCAUGCGGCUUAAUUCGAUGCAACGCGAAGAACCUUACCUAGGCUUGACAUAUACCGAAAACCUCACAGAGAUGUGGGGUCCGCAAGGGCGGUAUACAGGUGGUGCAUGGUUGUCGUCAGCUCGUGUCGUGAGAUGUUGGGUUAAGUCCCGCAACGAGCGCAACCCUCGUCCUAUGUUGCCAGCGCGUUAUGGCGGGGUACUCAUAGGAGACUGCCGGGGUCAACUCGGAGGAAGGUGGGGAUGAGGUCAAAUCAUCAUGCCCCUUAUGUCUAGGGCUGCACGCAUGCUACAAUGGUCGGUACAAAGGGCUGCGAUACCGCAAGGUGGAGCGAAUCCCGAAAAAGCCGGCCUCACGUUCGGAUUGGGGUCUGCAACUCGACCCC